rnacentral:rRNA from 1 species
UGGGGAAUUUUGGACAAUGGGCGAAAGCCUGAUCCAGCAAUGCCGCGUGUGUGAAGAAGGCCUUCGGGUUGUAAAGCACUUUUGUCCGGAAAGAAAUCCUUGGCUCUAAUACAGUCGGGGGAUGACGGUACCGGAAGAAUAAGCACCGGCUAACUACGUGCCAGCAGCCGCGGUAAUACGUAGGGUGCAAGCGUUAAUCGGAAUUACUGGGCGUAAAGCGUGCGCAGGCGGUUUGCUAAGACCGAUGUGAAAUCCCCGGGCUCAACCUGGGAACUGCAUUGGUGACUGGCAGGCUAGAGUNUGGCAGAGGGGGGUAGAAUUCCACGUGUAGCAGUGAAAUGCGUAGAGAUGUGGAGGAAUACCGAUGGCGAAGGCAGCCCCCUGGGCCAAUACUGACGCUCAUGCACGAAAAGCGUGGGGAGCAAACAGGAUUAGAUACCCUGGUAGUCCACGCCCUAAACGAUGUCAACUAGUUGUUGGGGAUUCAUUUUCCUUAGUAACGUAGCUAACGCGUGAAGUUGACCGCCUGGGGAGUACGGUCGCAAGAUUAAAACUCAAAUGAAUUGACGGGGUCAUAGCUGUUUCCU